rnacentral:rRNA from 1 species
AUGGAGGAGGAGAUCCGCGCGGAGUUCGAGGGCAGCGGCUUCACCAUCGGCGGCGACAGCGCCCAGAUCCUCUCCACGCUGCUGACCUACUGCGUCAACUACAAGAUGAGCCCUGCGGAUCUCGUCUCCAACUGGGAGGUCUACUACCUCAACAGGCAACUGGAUGGGUUAAAGGUCGAAAGCUCAUACCUGGAUGGUUUUCUGUCACACCUUCAAAAUGAAGUAAAGGAAAAGCUUAUAAAAGAAGAAACAGACCUUCACAUUUACUCCAGUAAUGAUGUUGACAUGCUCUUGAGCAAUACGCACACAGAUGAAGAGGGCUUCCUGGGCACACCAAGCACGAAACAGGAAAAGCCACAUGGAGAGUCAUCUAACUCUGAGCUUACUCCUCUGACAACUGAAAGGCCAUCAUCCAUCAGAGCGGCUAAAACAAAUGGUGAUCGUAUUACCCCUUUUGCACAACGAGUAAAUAAAUUUACUCAGCAUUAUGUUCUGAAUGCUGAUAAUGUGGCUAGCGAGCCAAGUAAAGAUGAUGUUGAAACCUCAGAAGAUGAAUUAAUCAGAAGGAUCCAACCAAGUCAAAAAUGUACCUUGCAAGUUCAACGCUCAAAGCCUGAACCAGGUUGCAGGUUCAUGUAUGACAGGAUGGAAGACCGAUUUAAUUACCUGGAAGAUCGUAUUGGAAGGUCAGCAAGAUUGUUUUCUGCAACUGGGCUCUGUGGACAACCUGCAGAUGCUACCCUUGCUUCAGAGGAGAACAUGUUUGCAGUUGGCAUGGUAAUUUGCGAUGGGGAAGGUCGUUUGAAUGAAAAAUCUAUCUUGUUGCAGGGCAGUGUUGAGCACUCCAGGGGACAGCGUGUACGCCUUGAUUUGAAGGAUAUAAACCAGUUCUCGUUGUUUCCUGGCCAGGUUGUGGGUAUUGAAGGCCACAAUCCUAGUGGACACUGUUUUGUCGCAUCAAAGUUGACUGAUUCCAUACCAAUUUCUGUGGAUGAUCAACUGCCUUGUGCUAAGAAGCAAGCUGGUGACCAUGAAGGGCAUCAAAAUUCGAACACACUAUCAAGGGUGUUGUCAUCGGUCAUUGCAGCAGGUCCCUUCACAACAACCGAUAAUCUUUCGUUCGAGCCAUUGCAAGAAUUGCUCUCAUAUGCAUGCCGUAAACAGCCCCAGUUGCUCAUACUGAUGGGACCCUUUAUCGACUCUGAUCAUCCUGAAAUAAAAAAAGGAACUUCUGACCAGAGCUUUCAUGAUAUUUUCCAUUUUGAGAUUCUGAGGAAGCUUCAAGAUUUUACCCAGUAUUUGGGGCAUAAUGUUCGUGUAAUUCUUGUCCCAUCUGUGCGUGAUGCUCACCAUGACGCUGUUUUCCCCCAGCCUGCAUUUGACUUGCAUUUAUCUGAAGAUAUCACACAACAGAUUACUUGUCUGUCAAAUCCAAGUCUGUUCAGUUCUAAUGAGAUACAAUUUGGCUGUUGUACAGUAGACAUCUUGAAACAGCUGAGCGGUGAUGAAAUUUCUCGCAAGCCACCUGGAGGAAAGGCCACAGAUAGGAUCGGGAGACUUGCAACACAUAUAGUGAAGCAGCAAAGCUACUACCCUCUGUAUCCUCCUGCUGCUGGUGUGCCCAUGGACUUUUCACUUGCCAAGGAAGCAUUGGAGAUCCCAUCAGCUCCUGAUGUUCUUCUGCUUCCUUCUGAUCUUGCUCCAUCUGUGAAGCAGGUGCUUUCCGUGAAUGAAGACACGGAGGAACAUAAACGAUUCAUCUGUGUGAACCCUGGGAGGCUAUCAAAAGGUAUAGGUGGCGGCACGUUUGUAGAGCUUUACUACAACGAGGACACCGAGAAGACAAAAGCCUUCAUUAUGCGCAUCUAA